rnacentral:rRNA from 1 species
UGAAAUGUUGGGUUAAGUCCCGCAACGAGCGCAACCCUUAUCCUUUGUUGCCAGCGGUCCGGCCGGGAACUCAAAGGAGACUGCCAGUGAUAAACUGGAGGAAGGUGGGGAUGACGUCAAGUCAUCAUGGCCCUUACGACCAGGGCUACACACGUGCUACAAUGGCGCAUACAAAGAGAAGCGACCUCGCGAGAGCAAGCGGACCUCAUAAAGUGCGUCGUAGUCCGGAUUGGAGUCUGCAACUCGACUCCAUGAAGUCGGAAUCGCUAGUAAUCGUGGAUCAGAAUGCCACGGUGAAUACGUUCCCGGGCCUUGUACACACCGCCCGUCACACCAUGGGAGUGGGUUGCAAAAGAAGUAGGUAGCUUAACCUUCGGGAGGGCGCUUACCACUUUGUGAUUCAUGACUGGGGUGAAGUCGUAACAAGGUAACCGUAGGGGAACCUGC